GGAUAUAGCUCAGUGGUAGAGCACAUGCUUAGCAUACACAAGGUCCUGGGUUCAAUCCCCAGUACCUCCA
rnacentral:tRNA from 1 species